GUCCCCAAAAAACAGGAAGUUGGGUUUGGCUUGACCUUGGUUGACUCUGUCACGCGGUCUCCGGAGAGCCUGCUGUUACUCAUCGAAACUCAACGAUAAGGAUUCUGCUUUGCCUUGUUUAUACAAAGACCUUGCAGAUUAGACUUAGAUCUCUGCCCCCGUCUGGGGCCGUGUAACUAAUAGGCUCCAAGCAUAUGCUGCGUGUCUGUGCAUUUGGAGGCGAGCAGCAGUGUUUUCUCACCUGCAGUGAAUUUUCCGCUGUGGACACUUUUGCAUGAAGUUGUCGAUUUGAUUGUGUGUGCAUGGAAAUGUAAGUAUUUUGAGGGUUAAACUGGGUUUGUUUUGAAACUUCCUGUUUGCUAAUGUGGGGUCGGAGCCCAGGGUGCAUCAGAUCGUCAGCUACAGUAAAUGUAGGAGGGAGCGAGCCUGUAUGGGAACGGGGGAAAAAAAGAGAGGGAGGGAGAGAAAAUAUGAAGCUACAUGAUAAGUUCAUCUGAGGAGAACAGGGGGUGGAGGAAAUGCUCUCCUUUCCUCCCUCCCUCGCUCCACUUUUUUCCUGUUGCCAUCUCUCUCUGUCUCUGAGCAAAAUAAACAUGUAUACGCAAA